rnacentral:rRNA from 1 species
AUACGGAGGGUGCAAGCGUUAUUCGGAAUUACUGGGCGUAAAGCGCGCGUAGGUGGUCUGUUAUGUCAGAUGUGAAAGUCCACGGCUCAACCGUGGAAGUGCAUUUGAAACUGGCAGACUUGAGUACUGGAGGGGGUAGUGGAAUUCCCGGUGUAGAGGUGAAAUUCGUAGAUAUCGGGAGGAAUACCGGUGGCGAAGGCGACUACCUGGCCAGAUACUGACACUGAGGUGCGAAAGCGAGGGGAGCGAACAGGAUUAGAAACCCUGGUAGUCC